GAUGAACGCUGACAGAAUGCUUAACACAUGCAAGUCUUUGGCGAAGCUGUGCUUGCACAGCCUAGCCAAGGCGGACGGGUGAGUAACGCGUAAGGAACUUGCCCUGCAGUCAGGGAUAACAGACGGAAACGACUGAUAAGACCUGGUAAAGUCAGGCGGACUCACGUCCAGCCUGAUGAAAAGAGAUGCUGCAGGAGAGCCUUGCGUCCUAUUAGCUUGUUGGUGGGGUAACGGCCCACCAAGGCGAUGAUAGGUAGCCGGCCUGAGAGGGUGGACGGCCACAAGGGGACUGAGAUACGGCCCUUACUCCUACGGGAGGCAGCAGUGGGGAAUAUUGGACAAUGGGGGCAACCCUGAUCCAGCAAUUCUGUGUGCACGAUGAAGGUUUUCGGAUUGUAAAGUGCUUUCAGCAGGGAAGAAAAAAAUGACGGUACCUGCAGAAGAAGCGACGGCUAAAUACGUGCCAGCAGCCGCGGUAAUACGUAUGUCGCAAGCGUUAUCCGGAAUUAUUGGGCAUAAAGGGCAUCUAGGCGGCCAGAUAAGUCUGGGGUGAAAACUUGCGGCUCAACCGCAAGCCUGCCCUGGAAACUAUGUGGCUAGAGUACUGGAGAGGUGGACGGAACUGCACGAGUAGAGGUGAAAUUCGUAGAUAUGUGCAGGAAUGCCGAUGAUGAAGAUAGUUCACUGGACGGUAACUGACGCUGAAGUGCGAAAGCUAGGGGAGCAAACAGG
rnacentral:rRNA from 1 species